ACAUACACAGGUUAAGAGGGAAACUUGAGGCCAGAGCCAAGAGAGGAGUUGCAUGAUGGCUUUAGGGACAUGUUGGUUGACUCCAGCCUGAAAUUGCUCUCAUACAUACAGGGUUCCUGGAAGCUAGACUUCUGCUAAUCCUCCAGGCAUGCCUCGCAAGCUCUGCUGGUUCCAUGGUCCAACUCUUCCUGCCUUGCAACAGCUCUGUCAUCAGCAAUAAUGAAAAGAAAUGCUGCCUUCCCUCUACUCAGUGGCCCAUCAGCAGAAGUCAGUGAGAUCUCCAGGGAAGCCGAUUGGCAGGACAGGUGCAGGUUCUGCUGCCUUAGUUACAGAGGUAUCAUGUAAGAGGAUUAGGCAUCCAGUUCUGGAAUGGGGCAUCAGUCUGCCCUUUCUACCUCUGAAGGCAUCAUCCUUUGCUACAAGGCCUAUCCAACUCAUAAUGCAAACCAGCUGAUGGACCUGGGAACUGCUGUGUUUCUGACUCUCGUUUGUCCUGUGAAGACACAAAGGAGCUAACCUUUGCAGGAGGCAAAGAUUAUUUCUUCUUGGUUGCUCUGUCAGUGAAGCAAUGCAGCAUUUACGGUUCCUGACUGUAGUUAGACCUCUGAAAGAUACAGCUGCUACUCAAAGAUCACAGGUAGCACUCAUCCAUCACCUGGAGAUACAGCAGAGAGAGACAGGCCAAUCUGCAGUAAGCAAGUUUAUUUCAUCUCUCCUGACAUCUAUAAAUUAGCUGCCAAGAAGAUACAGUAAGGUGCUGCACCAGGAGUUACUUUCUGAGCUCAUCAGGAAUCGCUGAUGAGAUGAGCACAUGCUGAAGCUGUUGCUGGUCCCCGUCCAGUGGCCACAUCCCCUUUAAUGAAGGAGCAACGCUGAGCCUUUGCUGUGUGUCGGACUUGGGUUAAUACACUGGGAUUUCUGGCUCACUAGCAAGAAACAGAACACACAGAAAACCUGCUUCAAGCUGAGGCUUCAGGCAGGAGACGUGUGCCCUCCCUUCCCUCAUCGUCAUCUGUUCCCGAGUUGAUGGAGGCAGCCACUGAUAUGGAUGAAUGAGCCAGAUUCAGUGCAGUGAGAGAAGCAUCUGCCUGACUCAGGUCACCUAACAGCAUCUGCCAUUGGCAUUGUUUCUGAGUGAUGCCGAAGAAAGGACAGGACCCAAGGGUUGAAGGAUUCAUCUUAGAACCUGAGGAUUGUCUUACUUUCCUCACCCCAGCAGCAGAGCUUUACAGACAUAACUAUAAAUAGCUACUGCACAUUAAGAAUCAAGCUGGCAUGUCUACCUAAAGGGUAAAUUGGUUUUGCCCCACACACUCCCCAAAUGUAGCAAAAGAGAUGCUUUAUUUGCAGAUCUGUGUAAGCACAGGCUGUAGUAGCUCUCAGCCAGCCCUGGCAGACCUGCAAAAAUCAGGUCACGCACCCUGCGCACACCUUUGGGUGAGCGGCCUUUCUAGUUCAGAAGUUCACGGGUUUCCCUCAACAAUAGUUUUUCCAUGGCCUCAAAGCGCUGAUUAGGCUGUGCUGUCCAUGUAGGGCACAGAAGGGAAGGGAAGUAGAUGGAAAAAACCCACAACCUCUUCUUCCAGAAGCACUGUGUAAAAUAUUCCCUGGGAUUUCCCACCACUAGGGAGUGACCCACUUUGAUUAUCCUGGCCUUGAUUAUCUCCUAAGCCUCCUUUUAGAUUAGAACAGUGUGAAUAGGCCAGGAAAAGAUCUGGAUGUGAUCUUCUUCUGAAGGUGCAAUUCUUCACAAGAUGCCUUGACACAAGAUCCCAGGAAAGAUGGAAAAGAGAGCACGUCAUCAGCGGCUCAGCAUGCUAUCAACUGAUUGAGGGGGCAGAAAUCCUUUUUUGUCUUUUUUUUUGGCCCUGAGAAAAGAAAGGAGAAAAAAAAUGCAAUUUACCUCGUGUCUGUAUCACAUCAAGCAAAACAGUCCAUCCAGGCACACAGUAACUUCACUCACAAUUUCAGGCUCAGAGCCAGAUAUUUCUAUCCAGGCCAUCAAUAAAUUUUGGAUGGAGAGCUGCAGUGGACAACAGAGUCUCAUAGCUAUUGUAGGCUUCAUCAUAAGGUGUCAGUAUUAAGCCUUCUCACUACCUCAUCCCCUGCCUGAAAAAUAAUUUCCUUGCAUGGUGUCUGAUUACCCAAGUGGCAAAACCUCAAAGGCAGUUCAGAGAUAACAGGAGUCAGUACAGGCCAGUGCCUUUAAAGAGACUUUCCAUCCUGUGUUAAGCUCAGUCAAAAUUAAUUGGGCCUGAGGGGUCAAAUUUUUGUAAACACAUUUAGGUACAGUUAGAUAUCUAAUUCCCCGAGUUGCCUGUGAAAAAAAUCACUUAAGGCUUAUCUGAAUCCUUAGAUACUUAAACACUUUUAAAAAACCAUUCCAAAUCUUGAAUUCUGCAGUCAGACAGAACACUUGAGCUGUCAUUUGCAAAUCCUGGUUUUUUCCUAAUAACGGGAUUACUGGAGGAGUUUUGCAGUAGCUUUGAGAAAAGUCAGUCUUUCAUAUCUAUAGUUUCACCUCUUAAAUUGGGGGAGGAAUGUACAAAGAAAUCCACCUUAUUAAAAUAAACAAAGUCUACUU